AGUGAAGGCAAUGGUCCAAGAAAGUACAUGGACAUGCAGUCACCGAGGACAUCAUUGAAGUAAAUGCAGAGAAAGCAUAUAAAAAACUUUGUGGAGCAGGGACAACUAGUGUGACUAAAGUUUCCUCAUAGCUGUGGGUAGUUUGAGUUUUCGUGGUACUUCUCGACUGUUCCGUGCUAGGAACUCAAUCAUCUCAUAUUUAAUGCAGAAAGAUGGGUCAUCCAGGAAUAAAAGACUCCAAAGCCCAGUCAGAAGUCUGGAUUACAAAACAAAAAGUUUAAAAAGAAUCGCAUCCAAGAGUACAAACUUUCCCACCACAAAGUACGAAGGUCAGGCCAGAUCACAGACAUUGGCCUCUUACACGAUAUGGAACGUGAUGGUGAAGUGAGUGAUGAUGGAUUUCGUGCUGAUGGCGUACGACAUGGAGUGUUUGACAGGUACAAGAUCCCUUCUAGAGACAUUUGCAGUGUUAUCAAGAACUUAAAGCUCAACAGGCUACUGGUACUACUGCUGUAUAAGUCCUUCAUUACUCCCCUGAAGGAGGUAUUUUGAUGGUGGGGGUCUGAAGCUCUUCCAGAUCCCAUACCCUGCCAUAUUAUACACUGGAAUACCCACUUCUUAAUGUAUAUACAAAUGCCCUGAUGAAUAAUGUCCCCAUCACCUUAAACUCAAGAGGCAUUAGCAAGAAGUUUCCUCAUAGCUGUGGGUAGAUUGAGUUUUCGUGGUACUUCUCGACUGUUCCGUGCUAGGAACUCAAUCAUCUCAUAUUUAAUGCAGAAAGAUGGGUCAUCCAGGAAUAAAAGACUCCAAAGCCCAGUCAGAAGUCUGGAUUACAAAACAAAAAGUUUAAAAAGAAUCGCAUCCAAGAGUACAAACUUUCCCACCACAAAGUACGAAGGUCAGGCCAGAUCACAGACAUUGGCCUCUUACACGAUAUGGAACGUGAUGGUGAAGUGAGUGAUGAUGGAUUUCGUGCUGAUGGCAUACGACAUGGAGUGUUUGACAGGUAAAAGAUCCCUUCUAGAGACAUUUGCAGUGUUAUCAAGAACUUAAAGCUCAACAGGCUACUGGUACUACUGCUGUACAAGUCCUUCAUUACUCCCCUGAAGGAGGUAUUCUGAUGGUGGGGGUCUGAAGCUCUUCCAGAUCCCAUACCCUGCCAUAUUAUACACUGGAAUACCCACUUCUUAAUGUAUAUACAAAUGCCCUGAUGAAUAAUGUCCCCAUCACCUUAAACUCAAGAGGCAUUAGCAAGAAGUUUCCUCAUAGCUGUGGGUAGUUU